UCGUGUCGUGAGAUGUUGGGUUAAGUCCCGCAACGAGCGCAACCCUCACCUCUUGUUGCCAUCAGGUCAUGCUAGGCACUCUAGAGGAACUGCCCCGGUCAACGGGGAGGAAGGCGGGGAUGACGUCAAGUCAUCAUGCCCCUUACGUCCUGGGCUACACACGUGCUACAAUGGCCGGUACAAAGGGAUGCAACACCGCGAGGUAGAGCUAAACCCAAAAAGCCGGUCUAAGUUCAGAUUGGAGUCUGCAACUCGACUCCAUGAAGGAGGAAUCGCUAGUAAUCGC
rnacentral:rRNA from 1 species